CCUACGGGAGGCAGCAGUGAGGAAUAUUGGUCAAUGGGCGCGAGCCUGAACCAGCCAAGUAGCGUGAAGGAUGACUGCCCUACGGGUUGUAAACUUCUUUUAUAAAGGAAUACAGUGAGGCACGUGUGCCUUUUUGUAUGUACUUUAUGAAUAAGGAUCGGCUAACUCCGUGCCAGCAGCCACGGUAAUACGGAGGUGGCAAGCGUUAUCCGGAUUUACGGGGUUUAACGGGUGCGCAGGCGGGGGAUCAAGUCAGCGGUAAAAUGUCGGGGCUAAACCCCGGCCGUCCGUUGAAACUGGUUUUCUAGAGUUGGAGAGAAGUAUGCGGAAUUCGUGGUGUAGCGGUGAAAUGCAUAGAUAUCACGAAGAACUCCGAUUGCGAAGGCAGCAUACCGGCUCCAUACUGACGCUGAGGCACGAAAGCGUGGGGAUCGAACAGGAUUAGAUACCCGGGUAGUC
rnacentral:rRNA from 1 species